GGUCAAGCUAAUAAGGGCUAACGGUGGAUACCUAGGCACACGGAAGCGAAGAAGGACGUAGUUACCGACGAAACGCUUCGGGGAGCGGGAAGCAAGCAUUGAUCCGAAGAUAUCCGAAUGGGGCAACCCUAAACACGACCACCUGAAUACAUAGGGUGGAGCGAGCAAACCUGGUGAACUGAAACAUCUUAGUAGCCAGAGGAAAAGAAAGCAACAGCGAUUCCCCCAGUAGCGGCGAGCGAAAAGGGAACAGCCUAAACCAAGUUCUGCGGAACUUGGGGUCGUGGGACAGUAACAAAAGACUGGGAAAUUUAGACGAAGCGGCUGAAAACCGCACCAGAGAGGGUGAAAGUCCUGUAGUCGAAAAAGGAACCAGCUUAACUGCAUCCCGAGUAGCAUGGGGCACGUGAAAUCCCGUGUGAAUCUGCCUCGACCACGAGGUAAGGCUAAAUAUUCCCGUGUGACCGAUAGAGAAACAGUACCGCGAGGGAAAGGUGAAAAGAACCCCGGAAGGGGAGUGAAAUAGAACAUGAAACCGUUAGCCUACAAGCAAUGGGAGGACGAUUGAACGUCUGACCGUGUGCCUGUUGAAGAAUGAGCCGGCGACUUACAGGUUAUGGCAGGUGAAGGGGGAAGACCCCACAGCCCCAGCGAAAGCGAGUCUGAAUAGGGCGAAACGUCAUAAUUUGUAGACCCGAACCCGGGUGAUCUAACCAUGGCCAGGAUGAAGCUUGGGUAAAACCAAGUGGAGGUCCGAACCGACUAAUGUUGAAAAAUUAGCGGAUGAGCUGUGGUUAGGGGUGAAAUGCCAAUCGAACUCGGAGCUAGCUGGUUCUCCCCGAAAUGUGUUGAGGCGCAGCGGUAGUGGAAGUUUAGUCGGGGUAAAGCACUGUUUCGCCGCGGGCUGGGAGACCGGUACCAAGGCGAGGCAAACUCUGAAUACGGCUAAAAAAACUACCAGUGAGACGGUGGGGGAUAAGCUUCAUCGUCAAGAGGGAAACAGCCCAGACCACCAGCUAAGGUCCCCAAAUGAUAACUAAGUGAGAAAGGAGGUGGGAGUGCAUUGACAACCAGGAGGUUUGCCUAGAAGCAGCAACCCUUAAAAGAGUGCGUAAUAGCUCACUGGUCAAGCGCUCCUGCGCCGAAAAUGAACGGGGCUAAGUUAUCUACCGAAGCUGUGGACUACAUUGUAGUGGUAGGGGAGCGUUCUAUAGGGGGUGAAGCAGUAGCGGCAAGCAGCUGUGGACUCUAUAGAAGUGAGAAUGUCGGCUUAAGUAGCGAAAAUGUGGGUGAGAAUCCCACACCCCGAAACCCCAAGGUUUCCUCCGCAAGGCUCGUCCGCGGAGGGUCAGUCAGGACCUAAGGCGAGGCUGAAAAGCGUAGUCGAUGGACAACGGGUUAACAUUCCCGUACCGAUUAAUGAUUGUGCCGGAGAACGGAGAAGGUCAACGUCAGCUGGAUGUUGGUUACCAGUGCAAGCAGUCGAGGCGAUGAGAGGUGGUGAAAACACCAGGAGCUAAGACGCGAGUCCCACCUCCCACGGGAGGGAAGUGGCGCUGAUCAAGCUUCCUAGAAAAGCCCGAACCACGUUAAUCAUUAAUUGCCUGUACCCGAAACCGACACAGGUGGGGAAGUAGAGAAUACUAAGGGGCGCGAGAUAACUCUCUCUAAGGAACUCGGCAAAAUGACCCCGUAACUUCGGGAGAAGGGGUACCCUCGCAAGAGGGUCGCAGUGAAUAGGCCCAGGCGACUGUUUACCAAAAACACAGGUCUCCGCCAAGUCGUAAGACGCAGUAUGGAGGCUGACGCCUGCCCAGUGCCGGAAGGUUAAGGAAGUUGGUCAGGAGUAAUCUGAAGCUGACGACCGAAGCCCCGGUGAACGGCGGCCGUAACUAUAACGGUCCUAAGGUAGCGAAAUUCCUUGUCGGGUAAGUUCCGACCCGCACGAAAGGCGUAACGAUCUGGGCACUGUCUCGGAGAGAGACUCGGCGAAAUAGGAUUGUCUGUGAAGAUACGGACUACCUGCACCUGGACAGAAAGACCCUAUGAAGCUUUACUGUAGCCUGGAAUUGGCUUCGGGCUUCGCUUGCGCAGGAUAGGUGGGAAGCUUUGAAACUCUCCUCGUGGGGAGGGUGGAGCUAACGGUGAGAUACCACUCUGGCGAGGCUAGAAUUCUAACCCUGACCCCUAAUCGGGGCGGGAGACAGUUUCAGGUGGGCAGUUUGACUGGGGCGGUCGCCUCCUAAAAGGUAACGGAGGCGCGCAAAGGUUCCCUCGGUCCCGUUGGAAAUGGGACGAUAGAGUGCAAAAGCAGAAGGGAGCUUGACUGUGAGACCCACAAGUCGAACAGGGACGAAAGUCGGCUUUAGUGAUCCGACGGCACCGCGUGGAAGGGCCGUCGCUCAACGGAUAAAAGUUACUCUAGGGAUAACAGGCUGAUCUCCCCCAAGAGUUCACAUCGACGGGGAGGUUUGGCACCUCGAUGUCGGCUCAUCGCAACCUGGGGCUGAAGUCGGUCCCAAGGGUUGGGCUGUUCGCCCAUUAAAGCGGUACGUGAGCUGGGUUCAGAACGUCGUGAGACAGUUCGGUCCAUAUCCGGUGUAGGCGUAAGAGCAUUGCGAGGAGCCUUCCUUAGUACGAGAGGACCGGGAAGGACGCACCGCUGGUGUACCUGUUAUCGUGCCAACGGUAAACGCAGGGUAGCCAUGUGCGGAGCGGAUAACCGCUGAAAGCAUCUAAGUGGGAAGCCCACCUCCAGAUGAUUGCUCUCAUGGCAUUAAGCCAGUAAGGUCUCGGGUAGACUACCCGUUGAUAGGCUCUAGAUGGAAGCUCGGUAACGAGUGCAGUCGAGGAGUACUAACCGACCGAGGGCUUGACCUG
rnacentral:rRNA from 1 species